rnacentral:rRNA from 1 species
GAUGAACGCUAGCGGCAGGCCUAACACAUGCAAGUCGAGGGAGAAGCCCUUUCGGGGGCAGAAACCGGCGCACGGGUGCGUAACGCGUAUGCAACCUACCUUUCACAGGGGGAUAGCCCGAAGAAAUUUGGAUUAAUACCCCAUAAUAUUGUUGGAUGGCAUCAUUUGGCAAUUAAAACUGCGGUGGUGAAAGAUGGGCAUGCGUCCUAUUAGCUAGUUGGAGUGGUAACGGCACCCCAAGGCUACGAUAGGUAGGGGUCCUGAGAGGGAGAUCCCCCACAGUGGUACUGAGACAGGGACCAGACUCCUACGGCAGGCAGCAGUGAGGAAUAAUGGUCAAUGGUCGGAAGACUGAACCAGCCAUGCCGCGUGAAGGAAGAAUGCCUUAUGGGUUGUAAACUGCUUUUAUAUGGGGAGAAUAGGGCGUACGUGUACGUUGAUGACGGUACCAGAUGAAUAAGCAUCGGCUAACUCCGUG